rnacentral:rRNA from 1 species
GUGGGGAAUCUUCCGCAAUGGACGAAAGUCUGACGGAGCAACGCCGCGUGAGUGUUGAAGGUCUUCGGAUUGUAAAGCUCUGUUAAUCGGGACGAAAGAGCCUAGUGUGAAUAAUGCUAGGAAGUGACGGUACCGGAAUAGAAAGCCACGGCUAACUACGUGCCAGCAGCCGCGGUAAUACGUAGGUGGCAAGUGUUGUCCGGAAUUAUUGGGCGUAAAGCGCGCGCAGGCGGAUCUGCCAGUCUGUCUUAAAAGUUCGGGGCUUAACCCCGUGAUGGGAGUGAAACUACAGAUCUAGAGUAUCGGAGAGGAAAGUGGAAUUCCUAGUGUAGCGGUGAAAUGCGGAGAUAUUAGGAAGAACACCAGUGGCGAAUGCGACUUUCUGGACGAAAACUGACGCUGAGGCGCGAAAGACAGGGGAGCGAACGGGAUUAGAUACCCGGGUAGUCC